AUCCAUUUAUACAUAUAGUCUAUACGUCAUAAUAAUACGAGUAUGGUUGAGCGGUGAGGAACUGAUAUUGACGUACAUUUUUAUGAACUUCCAUGCAUUCUGAAUACGUAUUUUAAAUUGUACGUCACUGCUGCUUAUUAUAUAGGUUUUGUAGGGCAGAGCUGCUACUAGGUUUUGAGGAGUCCCAAUACGAACAAUCAUAUGAAUCCUUGCCCCUUCUGAAGUAUAGUCAUAGUCUAAAAAAAUAAAUGCAGCCAAGACUAAAACCCUACAAGAACAACACACAAACAAUGGAUAUAACAUCAGAAUAUGGGAAAUCAACUGAUGGAAAUCAGAAACGAAAUAGUUCGAGUAAAAAACAUAUUUCUUAAAAAAAAAGAGAAGACACGAAAACGAAUUUCAUAGUCAAAUAAUCGAGGGAAUGAUAAAAGGAACACGACUAAGAGAAGUGCCUAGAAUAAAAUCCAUCGGCCGAGCAAUAAAGGAUGCUUCCUGCAAGGAGCAAAAAGACACGGUAGAGGACAGAGAAAAUUUGAGAAAACAUUUAUUGCGAUUACAUUCGAGAAAACCAAUCUUAAGAUAGGGAAAAAAAAAUAAAUGUUUUUACGUGUCGUGCCUAUUAUCAACACGAAAUCAAAUAAUGUUUUUUCAAAGAGAUCGCGCGUGCAUCAUUGCUGGUCAGCAAAAUAAAAAAAAAAAACAAUUAUAAUCGACCAUAUAUGGUUAUUUGUGCUCACGGUGUAGAUUUCACGAGGUGUAAUAUCGGUAAACGAUGCAAUUAAUAAUCGUCGGGCUUGUCCCGUGGCUUCGUUCCAAUAUUCGGCGAACGAUUUUCAAGCAGACACAUCGUUUCGGUAAUUUAUAAAUAUUCUCCCCCCCCCCUACCAGUACCACCUUCGCAUUUUCAAAGCCCAUGUAAACGAUUAAGAAUAGGCGUCACGUAGGUAGAAUAUUAUCGUGUCUUCACGACAUGGGCUUCGAAAACGGGAGCAAGGAAGAUCGAAAACGAUUUGACGACGGCGCGUCGACGGCGUGUAUUAACACGUAAGACGCGAAUCCAACGGGGCUUCAACCCUCCGUUCGGACGUAUUAUGUAAUUAAUACUUAAUAGGUAUGUCUUCGAUCGAAGAACGGUAGAAAAACAAAUGAACUUGUAGAUUUUUCGUAUUUUGUCUUUUCAAAAUAAGUCACGAUUAAUAUCCAUUUGUAUGCACAGAAACGAUGUAUUUCGUCUAUCUGUAAACGCAGCGCCCCCUCCUCUCAAAUUCAUAUUUCCAGAUCCGUUCCCGAUACACGUCGUACAGUUCAGCCGAUAACAGUGUACGGCCCACAUCGACACAUUUCGAUCGACGCACGUUUGUGUGGCGGGCAAGGGUUCGGUGUAAAUCGCAAUCCUGGCACGCGGUGCAGGGAAGUCGCUGCGCGGAGGCGAUGUCGGGCGGUACACGCGUCCGUUGAAAUCCGAAGCGCAAAACGCGUAUCGUAUUACCUCACGGACGGUUCGGUCCGAUUUCCCAUUCGCGCCCGUCUUCAGGUUGGGUUACGCUUUGCGCCGUCGCGGAGUUCUCGAGAACUUUUUUUUUUUUUCUUCUCAACACGGCGAUCGCGCGUGCGGGGGGUACUGCGAACAGAACGAGACGUGAUAAUAACAAAAAAUCUUAAUAAUAAUAUUCGUGCGAUCAUUAUCGCUCGAUCGGUGUCGGCGGCCCGCGAACACUAUUUGUUUACGUUUUAAACGAUAUUACUACGUCGGACGCGCGUUGGUUUUCCAAAUUUCGGCAUUUCCCCCCCCCCCAUCCCGGUCGAAAAAUCGUUCGUAAAACGCGAUCCGAAGGAAUUUCAUUUAAUCGCGCGAUACCGACGCAACAAUAGCGCGACGCGUGCGUAACGUGGUAAGCGUCGAACACGCAAGCCCGAUUUCAAACGACGGCUGACCGGCACUCGGACCACGCGGUCAACCGUGAUCCUCGAAAAACGUAUCCGCGACAAAUCGCCUUAACAUACGGCGGCGACCCGGUCGAACAGUCGCCGUUUUCGUAUUCAAAUAUGUUCUGGUAAUAAUAAUAUUACAUUGUCCUUGACCAUCCCCCGCCGUACCUCUCGAGGAACCAAAGAGCUGACGGUUUGACACGCGCGCCUUAACAACACUUGUAAUAAUAAUAAUAAUAAUAAUAAUUAUGUGUUUUUUUUUCUCUCCGUGCGGACAUGGAACACGGCACAGUGUAUUACGUACGUGUGUACAAAACACAACACGUGAUCGCCGCCGAGAUCAUAAUAUUAUGGUUGGCCUACACGCGCGUCGCGCAAGGUCAUGGUUUUACACGUCGGUUCCGCGGCGCACGGUCGUUUCGCGCCGGUCGCGGUGGCAGCACUGGCACGGCGGCAGUGAGUCCGGCCGCCGCCGCGUCGAGGUCGUCUCCACCGCCGUGUACGGCACACACUCAGACCGACCG
rnacentral:lncRNA from 1 species